rnacentral:rRNA from 1 species
GGUUAAGUUAGAAAGGGCGCACGGUGGAUGCCUUGACACUAGGAGUCGAUGAAGGACGGGACUAACGCCGAUAUGCUUCGGGGAGCUGUAAGUAAGCUUUGAUCCGAAGAUUUCCGAAUGGGGAAACCCACCAUACGUAAUGGUAUGGUAUCCUUAUCUGAAUACAUAGGGUAAGGAAGACAGACCCAGGGAACUGAAACAUCUAAGUACCUGGAGGAAGAGAAAGCAAAUGCGAUUUCCUGAGUAGCGGCGAGCGAAACGGAACAUAGCCCAAACCAAGAGGCUUGCCUCUUGGGGUUGUAGGACAUUCUAUACGGAGUUACAAAGGAACGAGGUAGACGAAGCGACCUGGAAAGGUCCGUCGUAGAGGGUAACAACCCCGUAGUCGAAACUUCGUUCUCUCUUGAAUGUAUCCUGAGUACGGCGGAACACGUGAAAUUCCGUCGGAAUCUGGGAGGACCAUCUCCCAAGGCUAAAUACUCCCUAGUGAUCGAUAGUGAACCAGUACCGUGAGGGAAAGGUGAAAAGCACCCCGGAAGGGGAGUGAAAGAGAUCCUGAAACCGUGUGCCUACAAAUAGUCAGAGCCCGUUAACGGGUGAUGGCGUGCCUUUUGUAGAAUGAACCGGCGAGUUACGAUCCCGUGCGAGGUUAAGCUGAAGAGGCGGAGCCGCAGCGAAAGCGAGUCUGAAUAGGGCGUUUAGUACGUGGUCGUAGACCCGAAACCAGGUGAUCUACCCAUGUCCAGGGUGAAGUUCAGGUAACACUGAAUGGAGGCCCGAACCCACGCACGUUGAAAAGUGCGGGGAUGAGGUGUGGGUAGCGGAGAAAUUCCAAUCGAACCUGGAGAUAGCUGGUUCUCCCCGAAAUAGCUUUAGGGCUAGCCUUAAGUGUAAGAGUCUUGGAGGUAGAGCACUGAUUGGACUAGGGGUCCUCAUCGGAUUACCGAAUUCAGUCAAACUCCGAAUGCCAAUGACUUAUCCUUAGGAGUCAGACUGCGAGUGAUAAGAUCCGUAGUCAAAAGGGAAACAGCCCAGACCGCCAGCUAAGGUCCCAAAGUGUGUAUUAAGUGGAAAAGGAUGUGGAGUUGCUUAGACAACUAGGAUGUUGGCUUAGAAGCAGCCACCAUUUAAAGAGUGCGUAAUAGCUCACUAGUCGAGUGACUCUGCGCCGAAAAUGUACCGGGGCUAAAUACACCACCGAAGCUGCGGAUUGAUACCAAUGGUAUCAGUGGUAGGGGAGCGUUCUAAGGACAGUGAAGUCAGACCGUAAGGACUGGUGGAGUGCUUAGAAGUGAGAAUGCCGGUAUGAGUAGCGAAAGACGGGUGAGAAUCCCGUCCACCGAAUGCCUAAGGUUUCCUGAGGAAGGCUCGUCCGCUCAGGGUUAGUCAGGACCUAAGCCGAGGCCGACAGGCGUAGGCGAUGGACAACAGGUUGAUAUUCCUGUACCACCUCUUUAUCGUUUGAGCAAUGGAGGGACGCAGAAGGAUAGAAGAAGCGUGCGAUUGGUUGUGCACGUCCAAGCAGUUAGGCUGAUAAGUAGGCAAAUCCGCUUAUCGUGAAGGCUGAGCUGUGAUGGGGAAGCUCCUUAUGGAGCGAAGUCUUUGAUUCCCCGCUGCCAAGAAAAGCUUCUAGCGAGAUAAAAGGUGCCUGUACCGCAAACCGACACAGGUAGGCGAGGAGAGAAUCCUAAGGUGUGCGAGAGAACUCUGGUUAAGGAACUCGGCAAAAUGACCCCGUAACUUCGGGAGAAGGGGUGCUUUCUUAACGGAAAGCCGCAGUGAAUAGGCCCAAGCGACUGUUUAGCAAAAACACAGCUCUCUGCGAAGCCGUAAGGCGAAGUAUAGGGGGUGACACCUGCCCGGUGCUGGAAGGUUAAGGAGAGGGGUUAGCGUAAGCGAAGCUCUGAACUGAAGCCCCAGUAAACGGCGGCCGUAACUAUAACGGUCCUAAGGUAGCGAAAUUCCUUGUCGGGUAAGUUCCGACCCGCACGAAAGGUGUAACGAUUUGGGCACUGUCUCAACCAGAGACUCGGUGAAAUUAUAGUACCUGUGAAGAUGCAGGUUACCCGCGACAGGACGGAAAGACCCCGUGGAGCUUUACUGUAGCCUGAUAUUGAAUUUUGGUACAGUUUGUACAGGAUAGGCGGGAGCCAUUGAAACCGGAGCGCUAGCUUCGGUGGAGGCGCUGGUGGGAUACCGCCCUGACUGUAUUGAAAUUCUAACCUACGGGUCUUAUCGACCCGGGAGACAGUGUCAGGUGGGCAGUUUGACUGGGGCGGUCGCCUCCUAAAGUGUAACGGAGGCGCCCAAAGGUUCCCUCAGAAUGGUUGGAAAUCAUUCGUAGAGUGCAAAGGCAUAAGGGAGCUUGACUGCGAGACCUACAAGUCGAGCAGGGACGAAAGUCGGGCUUAGUGAUCCGGUGGUUCCGCAUGGAAGGGCCAUCGCUCAACGGAUAAAAGCUACCCCGGGGAUAACAGGCUUAUCUCCCCCAAGAGUCCACAUCGACGGGGAGGUUUGGCACCUCGAUGUCGGCUCAUCGCAUCCUGGGGCUGUAGUCGGUCCCAAGGGUUGGGCUGUUCGCCCAUUAAAGCGGUACGCGAGCUGGGUUCAGAACGUCGUGAGACAGUUCGGUCCCUAUCCGUCGUGGGCGUAGGAAAUUUGAGAGGAGCUGUCCUUAGUACGAGAGGACCGGGAUGGACGCACCGCUGGUGUACCAGUUGUUCUGCCAAGGGCAUAGCUGGGUAGCUAUGUGCGGAAGGGAUAAGUGCUGAAAGCAUCUAAGCAUGAAGCCCCCCUCAAGAUGAGAUUUCCCAUAGCGUAAGCUAGUAAGAUCCCUGAAAGAUGAUCAGGUUGAUAGGUUCGAGGUGGAAGCAUGGUGACAUGUGGAGCUGACGAAUACUAAUAGAUCGAGGACUUAACCAUAUA